rnacentral:rRNA from 1 species
AUUGAACGCUGGCGGCAGGCCUAACACAUGCAAGUCGAGCGGAUGAAGGGAGCUUGCUCCUGGAUUCAGCGGCGGACGGGUGAGUAAUGCCUAGGAAUCUGCCUGGUAGUGGGGGAUAACGUCCGGAAACGGGCGCUAAUACCGCAUACGUCCUGAGGGAGAAAGUGGGGGAUCUUCGGACCUCACGCGAUCAGAUGAGCCUAGGUCGGAUUAGCUAGUUGGUGGGGUAAGGCCUACCAAGGCGACGAUCCGUAACGGGUCUGAGAGGAUGAUCAGUCACACUGGAACUGAGACACGGUCCAGACUCCUACGGGAGGCAGCAGUGGGGAAUAUUGGACAAUGGGCGAAAGCCUGAUCCAGCCAUGCCGCGUGUGUGAAGAAGGUCUUCGGAUUGUAAAGCACUUUAAGUUGGGAGGAAGGGCAGUAAGUUAAUCCCUUGCUGUUUUGACGUUACCAACAGAAUAAGCACCGGCUAACUUCGUG